AUUGAACGCUGGCGGCAGGCUUAACACAUGCAAGUCGAACGAUGAUUAUCUAGCUUGCUAGAUAUGAUUAGCGGCGGACGGGUGAGUAACAUUUAGGAAUCUGCCUAGUAGUGGGGGAUAGCUCGGGGAAACUCGAAUUAAUACCGCAUACGACCUACGGGUGAAAGGGGGCGCAAGCUCUUGCUAUUAGAUGAGCCUAAAUCAGAUUAGCUAGUUGGUGGGGUAAAGGCCCACCAAGGCGACGAUCUGUAACUGGUCUGAGAGGAUGAUCAGUCACACCGGAACUGAGACACGGUCCGGACUCCUACGGGAGGCAGCAGUGGGGAAUAUUGGACAAUGGGGGCAACCCUGAUCCAGCCAUGCCGCGUGUGUGAAGAAGGCCUUUUGGUUGUAAAGCACUUUAAGCAGGGAGGAGAGGCUAAUGGUUAAUACCCAUUAGAUUAGACGUUACCUGCAGAAUAAGCACCGGCUAACUCUGUGCCAGCAGCCGCGGUAAUACAGAGGGUGCGAGCGUUAAUCGGAAUUACUGGGCGUAAAGCGAGUGUAGGUGGCUCAUUAAGUCACAUGUGAAAUCCCCGGGCUUAACCUGGGAACUGCAUGUGAUACUGGUGGUGCUAGAAUAUGUGAGAGGGAAGUAGAAUUCCAGGUGUAGCGGUGAGAUGCGUAGAGAUCUGGAGGAAUACCGAUGGCGAAGGCAGCUUCCUGGCAUAAUAUUGACACUGAGAUUCGAAAGCGUGGGUAGCAAACAGGAUUAGAUACCCUGGUAGUCCACGCCGUAAACGAUGUCUACUAGCCGUUGGGGUCCUUGAGACUUUAGUGGCGCAGUUAACGCGAUAAGUAGACCGCCUGGGGAGUACGGCCGCAAGGUUAAAACUCAAAUGAAUUGACGGGGGCCCGCGCAAGCGGUGGAGCAUGUGGUUUAAUUCGAUGCAACGCGAAGAACCUUACCUGGUCUUGACAUAGUGAGAAUCCUGCAGAGAUGCGGGAGUGCCUUCGGGAAUUCACAUACAGGUGCUGCAUGGCUGUCGUCAGCUCGUGUCGUGAGAUGUUGGGUUAAGUCCCGCAACGAGCGCAACCCUUUUCCUUAUUUGCCAGCGGGUUAAGCCGGGAACUUUAAGGAUACUGCCAGUGACAAACUGGAGGAAGGCGGGGACGACGUCAAGUCAUCAUGGCCCUUACGACCAGGGCUACACACGUGCUACAAUGGUAGGUACAGAGGGUUGCUACACAGCGAUGUGAUGCUAAUCUCAAAAAGCCUAUCGUAGUCCGGAUUGGAGUCUGCAACUCGACUCCAUGAAGUCGGAAUCGCUAGUAAUCGCAGAUCAGAAUGCUGCGGUGAAUACGUUCCCGGGCCU
rnacentral:rRNA from 1 species